UGGAAGAAAGCCCAGCACUGUUGUUGGACUUAUUUUAAAAAGUUCCUCUGACUUCAACAGAAAUCCCAACAAGUCAUUCUGGACCCUGACUACUGGACUACUGGAGGUGUCUGCUAUUUUGUCUCUCCUUUGCUCCCUUCUACCCAGAGACAUAAUGUUUGUUUAUUUAUUUAUUUAAAGAUUUUAUUUAUUUAUUCAUGAGAGACACACCACACAGAGAGAGAGAGAGAGAGAGAGAGAGGCAGUCAUAGGCAGAGGGAAAAGCAGGCUCCAUGCAGAAGCCCGACGUGGGACUCGAUCCCGGGACCACAGGAUCAUGACCUGGGCCAAAGGCAGACGCUCAACCGCUGAGCCAGCCGGGUGCCCUGAGACGGGGUGUUUAAAGGAUCACCACCAUCUCUCCCGGCUCCAUUUGUACCACGAUCUUGAUUAAGAAUAAGAAGCAUCCAAAAGCAGCAAGCAUGUGUCAGCCCCUGGAGGCCAUGAAGAAGACCACUCUAUGAGUUUCAAGACCCUCAGAACUACUACUCUUUUCUGAAAACCCUGUACCCACCUGAAACUGUUACGACAUGUGUGAUUGCAUCACAUUAUUUCUGUAUAUUCUUCUGCCUUCAAAAAGGAAAGGAAAGGGAUCCCUGGGUGGCGCAGCAGUUUGGCACCUGCCGUUGGCCCAGGGUGCAAUCCUGGAGACCCGAGAUCGAGUCCCACAUCGGGCUCCCGGUGCAUGGAGCCUGCUUCUCCCUCUGCCUAUGUCUGUGCCUCUCUCUCUCUCUCUCUCUGUGUGACUAUCAUAAAUAAAUAAAAAUUAAAAAAGGAAAGCAAGUAAGAAUUUUCAAGGGCAGGCAUAUCCUUUUUUCUCUGGACUCCUAGAGAUUCAGAUGAGGAGCCCUGUUAGGAUGAGGGCUUCCUAGAGUCAGGAAGAGAGGAAAGAAAAGGUGUGACUUGAAAAUAGAUGAUACCCAGAAGAAUAAAAUAUCCUUUGUUC
rnacentral:lncRNA from 1 species